CUUCCAAUAAAUAAAUAAAUAAAAACCCAAAAAAGUCUAAAAUGAAGGGGCAGAAAAACGAAGCAAAUUAUCUUGUUGCUGCCUUGCUGGAGAUAGAUAAACUCACAAGAGGAAUAGGCCGAAACGGAUAGCUUUGCCGUUACUAAUUCUUUUGCACCGAUUACCUCUCUGAAUCUCACGUCCUCCUCCUCUUCCUUAUCAUAUUUGAUUCCAUUGAAGCUUAAUUACCACCGCUUGGUGAAGGGUAAGCAAAGCUCAAAUGGACUGUUGGCGAUUCAUUGCUUUUCUGAAAUGGGUCCAACCUUAGAGCCUAUAAAUUUAAGGCAGCCUCAAGUGCCAUCUGUGGCUCCCUUUGGGGUGACAAUGGAUGGGCAAUCUUAAAGUUGUUCUUCCAGUUAAUGCACAAGUUGUUUUGAAAACUAGAAAUGUUGACGGAGUUUAUGAUGACGAUCCCAGGCAUAAUCCAAGUGCUCGUCUUCUUGAAAAUCUAACCUACUAUGAGAUGACUUCAAAAGAUCUUUCAGUGAUGGACGUGACUGCCAUUACUUUGUGCCAAGAAAAUAAUAUUCCAGUAGUUGUCUUCAAUCUAUCCAAACAGGGUAACAUUGCAAAAGCAAUAAAGGGAGAAAGUGUUGGCAAAUUGAUUGGAGGGACAUGCAACUCAACAGUCACAAGGACAUGAUGGUUACUGCCAUGUGUUUGCUGGCUUUUGAGGCCUCCCUUCUCAUAUGCAAAAUAGCUGCUUCUUUGGAAGCAUCUCGAACUUGCAUUUGAAGUUUGAAGACAAAAGUAUGCCAGGGUCCAACAUAAAGCAUCAUCUAAAUUUGCCGGCUGAGGUACUCAUUAUAGCUAAUUCUGUAAAUAAUUUUGUCAUAUUGGAUUCUUUUGAACUGCCAUUGUAUUUUUGACAGUGAAAGUUUUUACUGCAAUGCAUUGAUGUUUUAGAGUUCAGAUAA